rnacentral:rRNA from 1 species
GACAGAGGUCCCGAGCGUUAGGCGGAAUCACUGGGCUUAAAGCGUGUGUAGGCGGAUCGUUAAGUACCUUGUGAAAUCCCACGGCUUAACCGUGGAACUGCUUGGUAUACUGGCGAUCUUGAGCCACUUAGGGGCUACCGGAACAAGUGGUGGAGCGGUGAAAUGCGUAGAUAUCAUUUGGAACGCCAAUGGUGAAAACAGGUAGCUGGGAGUGUGCUGACGCUGAGACACGAAAGCCAGGGGAGCAAACGGG